rnacentral:antisense_RNA from 1 species
UUGUAUUUGUAGUAGAGACAGGGUUUCACCAUGUUGGCCAGGCUGGUCUCGAACUCCUGGCCUCAGAUGAUCUACCCACCUCAGCCUCCCAAAAUGCUGGGAUUACAGGCGUGAGCCACUGCGCCCGGCCAGCCUUUGGUUUUUCUGUGGUUUUCUUGGAGUUCUUUUUAAUUCUGACAUAGAAGUUUGCACAAUCCCUCUUUUAUAGAUGAAGAAACCAAAGCUUUGUGACUAACUCAACCCCUCAAGAAGGACAAAACUAGCAUCAGAGCAUCUUGCUCCUGGGUCUGGCAAGAAUGCCUCUUGUUUGCUGAGAGGUCCACAGAUUUAUCCGGCUCAAGACUGGGCGAUGGGAGGUGACCAGGUCAAUGCCAGCCUCUCUCUGAGCUCCUCUGAGUCGUGGCAGCUGAGGUGCUCUUCUGGAAAUGUUCUACCAUCCACGAGGUCGUGUAUGCCUGGAAGCUUUUGUUCCAUUGAACUCUGCCAGGGAGCUAUACUUAGCCACGCAAGUGGAGGCCAGGAGUGGGUUCUCUGAAUAUAGAUAGUAGCAAGCAGGCUAUUUUCAAACACCUAGAGAACCCCCCUGAUUAUUCUGGGCCAAAAUGAUAUUUAUAGGAUGCUCUGGGCUCUUGGACACGAAGGCAAUAACCUUAGCGCCUUUUGGCGUUCGGGGUUUCUUUCAACGGGGAGUAGAGAGAGGGACCCGGUCACCCAGAGGCCCGCCGUCCCUCAACACCUGUUUCUAGGAGGCCAGGCGUCCUCUUUGCUUUUACACUAUGAGUCACAGGACAGCGAGAGGCAUGCAGGGCCCUACUAAUUUUCCUUCCUGCACGCCGGGUGUGGGUCCUGUCUGAGGCCUGCUGUGUGCUAUCAGGGGAGACGUCAUCAGGGGACUUUUCCUGCUGUGAGGAGGGUGCAGCCCCUGCCUUUCAGAGCUCGGGACAGUCUCUUCCUCUUGCCCAGGAUACUCAGGGAUUUCCUAGGCUUCCACCCUCACCCAGACAUCACUGGGCCAUCACUGAAACACCCGCUUCCAGUGUGCUCAGGUCCUGCAGCCUUCUGUCCAUCCUUGCCCCGCCUCCCGCCCAGAAGAAAGACUCUGACAGUGCCCCUGGAAGAGGGAGGAGAGUGGAUGUGAUGAGUGAAGAUUUGGGUGGGGAAAGGAAGGCCUGAGUCCUGGGAGGAAGAGCUCGCCCGGCCCCAAGCCCCCGGAGACUGUGAGCAAGGCUGAGAAGCCCCCUUCCUGGUGCUCAAGCUGCAGGUGUUGGAUAGGGCUCCAGAACCCCAGAUUUUAAGUGACCACUCCAGGUUAACUUGGGGAUGGUCAGGCAGAACAAGGAGGAGAGGCCAGCAGUGAAGGGCGGGGCUGGUGGGCAGUGGCUGGGGGUGUCCUGGGUGGGGCUGGCCACCCUCGCUGCCUCUGACUUGGGCCAGACCUGCCCUAAGUGGAGUGGCUCCUCCAUUCUUUACACCCCAGGCCCCUGGCAGGUGCCCUGCCUUUCCUCUGCCCCUCUCUCUGCCAACCCGUCCUCUCCCUCCCAGCCCCUGCCCGCCCAGAUAUAAAUAUAAGAGCAUUUUCCAUGGGCUGAGACAGAAGGGAAAACAUUCAGCUUUAUUUUCGGCUUGUGAAAUUCCUGUCCUUCAUUCCCAACAGGUGCAAUCGCCUCAUUUAGAUAUUGGGACCCAGAAAUAGAACACAAUUUACAAUAUAGCUUCCUUUAGGGAUCUGGAUGCUACCAAAAAAAAAAAAAAAAAAAAAAAAAAAAGCCCUCCUGUGAGAUGCCGAGACUUAACAGAAACCGUGGUUGGAGCUCUUGCCUUUUUCCAGGCCGGUGGAGACCCUCACCCCUGGCAGCCUGACCGUGAAGCAGAAGAGGCAAGAGCUCCGGGAGACAGUCAGGAGGGAGGGGGCCCUGGAGGACAGGCUCUUAGUCCUACUCCUCCUCAAGACCCGGGUGCUGGCCUGUCCCCUGCCUUUGCCCUGAUGGGGAUGAGGGAGAGGAGAUGGGUGAGGGAACAGCCAUGGCCACUGGGGAAGGUGACUUGGAUGCAACCUUUGAAAGAGAUUCUUCCAGUAAACCCCAUCAGUUAAGAUC